rnacentral:rRNA from 1 species
AUACGGAGGGGGCUAGCGUUGUUCGGAUUUACUGGGCGUAAAGCGCGCGUAGGCGGUAUAUCAAGUUAGGCGUGAAAGCCCCGGGCUCAACCCGGGAACUGCGCUUAUUACUGAUAAACUAGAGUCCGGGAGAGGGUGGCGGAAUUCCCAGUGUAGAGAUGAAAUUCGUAGAUAUUGGGAAGAACACCAGUUGCGAAGGCGGCCACCUGGACCGGUUCUGACGCUGAGGUGCGAAAGCGUGGGGAGCAAACAGGAUUAGAAACCCCGGUAGUCC